rnacentral:rRNA from 1 species
CCCUUAGAUGUUCUGGGCCGCACGCGUGCCACACUGAGUAAUUCAAUGGGUAAGGGAACGCUAGAGCAUUACCUAAUCUUGAAAUUUGCUCGUGAUGGGGAUCGACGGUUGCAAUUUUCCGUCGUGAACGAGGAAUACCUUGUAGGCGCAUGUCAUCAUCAUGCGCCGAAUACGUCCCUGCCCUUUGUACACACCGCCCGUCGCUCCUACCGAUUGAGUGAUCCGGUGAGGCUCUGGGACCUGGACGGAAAGAGCGUUUCGCUUGUUCUGUUUGGGAAACUUGAUCGAACCUUAUCAUUUAGAGGAAGGAGAAGUCGUAACA